AGCAAACAGCCCUAUCCAAGGCAUUGAAAACAGACUGUGCACCCUACUCAAGCCAUGGGCUACUAAUAGACUAGAACCUCCCCUUUGCAACAGGAGAAACCCAGGACCGCAAGUGAUGGGAACAGUGACAAAAACAAAAUGGUCUGAUGAGCAGAAGCCUCAUUUCGCUUCCUGAAGCCACGUCUGAACCACAUAAGAGAAACAUUAGGGGAUUGGAUGAAACAACCAACCAACAACCAACAAAAAAAAUUCUAAUUUUGGAAUGAAACAGUCUACUGGAUGUGUUGGAAGUUUGAGUGUUCUGUACUCCAGGAAAACAAAAUCUGAAGCACAGGGAACAACUGGAAUUAAAAACAAACCCUAACUUCCUUAAAUAAAAAAAAUA